rnacentral:rRNA from 1 species
CCUACGGGGGGCAGCAGUGGGGAAUAUUGCACAAUGGGGGCAACCCUGAUCCAGCCAUGCCGCGUGUGUGAAGAAGGCCCUCGGGUUGUAAAGCACUUUCAGUGAGGAAGAACGCCUGGUGGUUAAUACCCAUCAGGAAAGACAUCACUCACAGAAGAAGCACCGGCUAACUCCGUGCCAGCAGCCGCGGUAAUACGGAGGGUGCGAGCGUUAAUCGGAAUUACUGGGCGUAAAGCGCGCGUAGGUGGCUUGAUAAGCCGGUUGUGAAAGCCCCGGGCUCAACCUGGGAACGGCAUCCGGAACUGUCAAGCUAGAGUGCAGGAGAGGAAGGUAGAAUUCCCGGUGUAGGGGUGAAAUGCGUAGAAAUCGGGAGGAAUACCAGUGGCGAAGGCGGCCUUCUGGACUGACACUGACACUGAGGUGCGAAAGCGUGGGUAGCAAACAGGAUUAGAUACCCCGGUAGUC